UCCCUAGACCUAUGUUCUUUUUUUUUUUUUAGAUUAUUGAGGUUUGUAUUUGUAUAUAUCAAAUAAAUUUACCCAACAAUAAUUUUUCAGUAAUUAAAAUAAACCCAGAUUCAUGUAGUAUAUUUUUUCCAUUAUUUUCCCCUGUUUCUCUCUCUCUUUUCCUUCCUAAUUAUUUCUAAGUUAUCAAGAGAGAAGUGGCUCUGGUUUUUUUUUUUUAAAUGUAAAGGCUUGCAUUUUUACUGUGCUUAUUUAAAAUGAUGGAUGUAAUUUCUAUUAAAAUACGAAUAAUUCCAUUCACGAGACAAUCAUGGUCUCUUCUUAAAGAUGCCCCAAUUUCUGUGUACUCAGAGUUUGUUGUAUAUUGUAUUUUUCUAUUUUAAUUUUGAACAUAAAUUCAACAUGCUUCUUUCCUCCUAUUUAACCUCCACUACCUUCCCCAAAAGACAAAUUCUCUUAAGUAUUUAGAAAGAAAACAUGUCUUUCCUUAAAGCAUGGUCAAAUUAACGUGGAAGUAGUUUGGGCAAGUGUAUGUAAUAAAGUAAAAUAAAUGGCUCUCAACUUGCAUCAAUUUUUAUAGGUUAAAAAGUUAUAGAGGACAAACUAUGUGUUAUGCUGAGAUAGACUCAGUAAGUAAUCAUUUAUUUGCAAAUUGAUAAUUUUGUUCUCAUCCAGAAAGUGCAGUGCAUAAUAACAAUAUUUAACAAUGUAAAGGAACUUCUCCUGUAGUAUAUACUGAAAAAAUGAUUGUCACUUUGCAGAUCUUUCCAUUUAGACAUGCAUGAUCUUCUCCAGUACUUUGUACAAAUGUGUGAUGUACUAAAUACAUUUAUGUGUAAUUUUGUGUGUAUUUUUUGUAUGGUACAAUUAACGUUUGACUGGUUGUAAUCCACAAAAUGUGCUACUUAUUGUACUCUGCAGAGUGUGUUGUGAAUGUUUUUACCUGUGUUUCAACAUUAUGAUAUAGGUUUAAUAGAUGAAUAUUUGCCUUCAGUCUCUGCUCAGGUAUUAAUGUGUAGCAAUUUUUGGUGCUUUCUUUUUAAUCUGUCAUAAUCUGGUGUUCUGAAUGUUCAAUAAUAAAUUUGGUGGUACAAAGCA